UGUGGGUUGGUGAAGGCUUUCCAAAAGACUUACUACAAUAGCUAUGGAGGUGGUGCCAACGAGCUCCAAGAUGGGUUCAACAAGGGCACCGGCUUGGGUGCUGAGAUCAUUGGCACCUUCGUUCUUGUCUACACUGUCUUCUCAGCCACUGAUCCCAAGAGGAGUGCAAGGGAUUCCCAUGUUCCUGUAUGUUCCCUUCUCUCUUCUAUAAAUGAAUCAAUAUUUAUAUUUGAGUCAAAUUAAGAAAUUGAAAGAAAAUUAGGGGAUCAAUUAGGAUACUACUUUUGUAGAUUGUCCAUAUGUAGAUUUUGUUAUACACAAUCAAUUUUUCACUAAUUUCCUUAGUAGGAACUUUCAUGGUUAGGCAUAUAGGAGGGUUGCCAACUUGCCAUAUAAGUCCCUCUUAUUAUUAAUUUUUUUCUCAAUUUUGAAAUUAUAAACAUUAUGAGUAAUUAUUUUCUUUGUUUGCAAAAAUAUAUAUAUAUAUUUAAGGUGUUGGCACCACUUCCCAUUGGAUUUGCCGUGUUCAUGGUUCACCUUGCCACAAUCCCUAUCACUGGCACUGGCAUCAACCCAGCAAGGAGCUUUGGAGCUGCUGUGAUUUACAACCAAGAAAAAGCUUGGGAUGAUCAAGUAAAUUUCCUUUUUUUUUUUUUAUACUUUUACUAAAUAUAUAAAAUUUACAUUUCCAUUGAAAAAAAAUUUUAAAUGAAAUUCAUGUGGUGUUAU
rnacentral:lncRNA from 1 species